GCGAAGAAUGUUCCUUCUUGUCUAUCUCUCAGGGUCUUCCACUCAGCCUGCGAGGAGAGCCCCCGUAAGGCUCUUCAAACCAUCACGACAGUUUAGUUUGCAAUGACACGGUUACCAGAAGAGGCCUUGCCUUCAUCCACUCGGUUCUCAUGUGUGUGAUGCGGCGGUCUGUGAGCUAACAUACGCGACAGUGGGCCAGUCCACAGUUCCUACACUGAACGCGGAUGCUAGAGCCCUCAGGGUUAUUUGGACAGAAGCUAGCAUGAGACGGAGUCAAAUAACGUGUAAGCACAACCUUUCUUGUGGUCGUAGGUCGAGAUCCUGGGCUGUGACUUAUCCUGGAAGCACCUCGUACGCAGACCCAGCGGCAGGAGUAGCUCAGCGCACACUUCGCAGUGGCAGCGUCCCAGCAACAAUCCGAGGCAGCGGCAGGAAUCUGGUGGGCAGACCGACAGCCGGAACCAAGCACCAGGAACCAGAUAUGAGUUCCAGCAGGCACAAAGAACUAGGCGGUAGAACCCGCAGCUCGCAGUGGUCUGUCUCGAAGAACCAAAUGCUAUCUGUACGAGCACCUUACGUCACACACUGCACCAUGGCAAUAUGUUGGCUGGCAAAGUCCUCUUGAGCGCGCGUGUGCGAAUCGCUGAGCUACGCAGCACUCUUCAUGGUUUCCCGGCAGGCGAUGCCUUUCUUACGGUGAAUGGCUCUCAGGAUCUUCCACUUGGAGACCCAUGUCUGCUUUCAGCUGGUUGGCGGAUAUAGAGCUGUUGUACACCCGUCGUAGUGACACAAGCCUGAUUACAGCUUCCUAGUCCUUCCGGAACUGAACUGUCAAUUUUUACAACCAUGGCAGUUGACUGAACGACGCAGUUACGCAGCGAUGCGCCCAAGAGUGAGCCCGGCUGCAUGAAGGGCACGGGAUUCGCCUCGCUCGUUCUCCGUCAGACGGCGACCGCGAGGCAGCUUUGCGUACGAGCGCUAACGGCCGACAUGUAAGACCACGUGCCUCUAGUUGUACUUCCCAUUUAAAUUGUAACAUUUCUCUAGGUGGCACAAUCCACAUAGGUGUCCCUAUAAUUUUCCGCCAGUUCAAAUUUUGAAAGUUUGUUGAGAAGUUGUACCAGGCAGACUUGAGGAAGUUGCAUUGGGAACGAAGAGACAAGGCAAAACGGGACGUGCUCAUCAAACACGCGAAUUCCCUGUCUUCACGUGUCUCAGCAAACUUUUCACCACCUUGGUGAUAUGCCCCACUUUGUUCCAGAGUUCCAAACAGUUUGAUUACCGACAGAUCCCGACCUAUUGGUGACAUCGACGGUGAUCCACGUGGCUCGAUGAAGCGUGGUAAUAAACGUGUUUUAGUGGUCGUGUUACAGAUUGCCACGCAUGGCUGCAACGUGAAGAGAACGGGAUGAAGGAAGACUCGAUCCACUUUACAUAUUUCGUUUCCUAGUGAACAAAAAAAAAAAAAGAAAGAAAGAAACACCAACGGUCAUUGAGGUACACAGUAGGACUCUACAGCGUGUCUGGAGCAAUCCGGUAGACAAGAGGAACUCCAAGAAGAUCAGAAGACAUCGACGGUGUUGCACGUGGCUCUGACAUGGGCCAAGAAUUGCUGCCAGGUUGAACGUCUGUCGGCUAGCAGUACUCGACUGAGCACAGAGUUGCCGCCUCUCUGUUUCACCUUCCUUUUUUGUAGCGCAGCGCAGCCAGUGGAGGAGAGCUCAAAUGUUGUACUUGCACAUAACUUUAACUUGAUUCUCAUAUCUCACAUCUAAUGUUUCCCGUGCAAUGGGGUAGUGUACUGCCCUCCAGUGGUGAAUCACACCAGAUCAUACUCACGA